rnacentral:lncRNA from 1 species
GUGGGUAGUAGAUACACCUAAUUCUACUGUCGGACACUUGUCCAUUUUUUCCGCUCAAGUGGGCAUCUUUGUACCCCUAAUUCUACUUCGGACACUUGUCCAUUUUUACCUCUCGUCUCACUCUUUUUCUUUCUUUUACGAGGUUCCGGGCACUUGCCCCUUUUUAUUUCCUCACAUAUUUUUGCAUAACCCAUGCCUCUUCUGCAUUAAAUCUUUUCAGAGAGAGAGAAUAACAAUAUUUGGGACAGUGAGUGAUAAUAUUUUUAGCAAUUCUAAUGAUUGGUGAUGAAUGUUGUGGUAGAUGUGUGCAAGUGGAUAUCUUAAUUUAACCACAUGAAAAGCUCCUAAGGGU